AUGGAGAUCUACUCCAAGGAAGAGGAAUUUUGGCGCCAGCGAGGUUCUAUAAAUUGGGUGUUGUUUGGUGACGCCAACACAGCUUACUUCCAGGCCAUCGCCAAUGGCCGUAGGAGGCACUGCUCCAUUCCCCUUUUAUGGGAAGGAGGCCAGCUAUUUCAAGACCCUCCGGCUAUCCGCUCGCUGGUGGACGACUUUUAUAAGUCGUUAUUUAUGGGUCGCCCGAGGGGGGGGGGUAUCGCCUUUGCUGACCAUAUCUGGUCGCUUGAUCAUCAAGUUUCCCCAGAGGAAAAUGCGGCUUUGCUCGCCCCAUUUGAUGCCUCGGAGGUGGAGACCUUCGUCAAAGCAAUGAACCCGGCCUCAGCCCCGGGCCCCAAUGGUCUUCCGGUUCGUUUUUUCCAGGCUUUCUGGCUGAUGGUCAAGGAGAUCAUUCUUGACCUGUUCCGGGAGUUCUCUAGGGGGACAUUAGACAUGUCCCGACUUAACUACAAGAUCAUCUCCCUGAUUCCCAAGGUACCGGGAGCCGCUGACAUUAGGCAAUUCCGCCCUAUCACAGUC
rnacentral:rRNA from 1 species